CACGUAGGGCGCAAGCGUUGUCCGGAAUUAUUGGGCGUAAAGAGCUCGUAGGCGGUCUGUUACGUCUGCUGUGAAAACCCAGGGCUUAACCCUGGGCUUGCAGUGGAUACGGGCAGACUAGAGGCAGGUAGGGGAGAAUGGAAUUCCCGGUGUAGCGGUGAAAUGCGCAGAUAUCGGGAGGAACACCGGUGGCGAAGGCGGUUCUCUGGGCCUGACCUGACGCUGAGGCGCGAAAGCCAGGGGAGCAAACAGG
rnacentral:rRNA from 1 species